rnacentral:rRNA from 1 species
AGGUACGUGCUAAUCCCUUGGGUAACCAAGCUCUGACGAUAAGACCCGACAGGUCAAGGCGUUAGGGGGCAGCCAGACUGAGGUCUGUCUGCUGGUAUACAGUUCAUGAAUGAACUGUUUAAUGCUGUGAUGCCCUUAGAUGUUCUGGGCCGCACGCGCGCUACACUGACAGAGCCAACGAGUUCUUCACCUUGACCGAAAGGUCUG